rnacentral:rRNA from 1 species
AGUGAACGCUGGCGGUAGGCCUAACACAUGCAAGUCGAACGGCAGCACAGUAAGAGCUUGCUCUUACGGGUGGCGAGUGGCGGACGGGUGAGGAAUACAUCGGAAUCUACUUUUUCGUGGGGGAUAACGUAGGGAAACUUACGCUAAUACCGCAUACGACCUACGGGUGAAAGCAGGGGAUCUUCGGACCUUGCGCGAUUGAAUGAGCCGAUGUCGGAUUAGCUAGUUGGCGGGGUAAAGGCCCACCAAGGCGACGAUCCGUAGCUGGUCUGAGAGGAUGACCAGCCACACUGGAACUGAGACACGGUCCAGACUCCUACGGGAGGCAGCAGUGGGGAAUAUUGGACAAUGGGCGCAAGCCUGAUCCAGCCAUACCGCGUGGGUGAAGAAGGCCUUCGGGUUGUAAAGCCCUUUUGUUGGGAAAGAAAAGCAGCAGGUUAAUACCCCGCUGUUAUGACGGUACCCAAAGAAUAAGCACCGGCUAACUUCGUG